rnacentral:rRNA from 1 species
GAUGAACGCUGGCGGCGUGCCUAAUACAUGCAAGUCGAGCGAACAGACGAGGAGCUUGCUCCUCUGACGUUAGCGGCGGACGGGUGAGUAACACGUGGAUAACCUACCUAUAAGACUGGGAUAACUUCGGGAAACCGGAGCUAAUACCGGAUCAUAUAUUGAACCGCAUGGUUCAAUAGUGAAGGACGGUUUUGCUGUCACUUAUAGAUGGAUCCGCGCCGCAUUAGCUAGUUGGUAAGGUAACGGCUUACCAAGGCAACGAUGCGUAGCCGACCUGAGAGGGUGAUCGGCCACACUGGAACUGAGACACGGUCCAGACUCCUACGGGAGGCAGCAGUAGGGAAUCUUCCGCAAUGGGCGAAAGCUUGACGGAGCAACGCCGCGUGAGUGAUGAAGGUCUUCGGAUCGUAAAACUCUGUUAUUAGGGAAGAACAAAUGUGUAAGUAACUAUGCACGUCUUGACGGUACCUAAUCAGAAAGCCACGGCUAACUACGUG